rnacentral:lncRNA from 1 species
UUGACAGUUUGGCUUCCCUGUUCUGGGUGGCAAAGCCUGUGGAGUACUCACCUACCUGCUGCAUGAAGGCAGCAUGGAGGGACUGUGGUGGAUUAUCUGCAAAGAUGGCCAAAAUUCUCUCAUCCCUGCAGGCACAUACAAGUUUUGAGAAGAAUGCGAAGAAGAAAGGAAGAGUGAGCCUCUCUUUCCCAUCGUUACCCUCCAUUGUCCUCUUGACACCCUGCUUUCACAGAGAAAGAGUUUGAGACCCUCUCCCAGGAGCCAAGGAGAGGGGAACAGCUGGCUUCACAUCAUCUUUCUAUUCAACAAGAUACAAAAAGCUGAAGCCAGGAUGAUAGAAAAGCAACAAAGAAGACACGGUCCUUACUCAUUUCCCUUCCCGCUUCAGAGCAAAUAUGGUGCCUAGUGUUUGAAGGGAGAACUUGUGGGCAGAGCAGGAAGCGUGAGUAUGGUUGAAGGAUCAAAUAUUUGGUUCAGGCAUCAGGGAGCCAGCAAGACUAUGAUGCUGGGAAACACAAGUGAUGUACUGUUGGAUUUAAUCUACUUGGAAAAAACCUAGGAAAACCAAAAUGUCAUCAACUAACACCUGAAAUGCCUCAGCACCAUCUGUCUCCAACAUUAAACAAAACCCACGAGAUUCCGGGAGAAAGAAAAUAGGAAAUUUAAUGAUGAACUUAACCUGAGUAACUUGAUAAAUGUUACCUUUGUGGCUAGCCAUUCACCAGCAAGUCCCUAAAAUGACCUGAAACCUGAAGAGUGUUUCACCCAUGAAAGGGUUUGCUCUCUCUGGGCAUGGCUACCCAGCACAUAUGUUAGUCAACUUUCUUUCCCUUG